rnacentral:rRNA from 1 species
CAGCCUGCCCAGUGACAAAGUUCAACGGCCACGGUAUCCUGACCGUGCGAAGGUAGCAUAAUCACUUGUUCUUUAAAUGGGGACUUGUAUCAACGGCAUCACGAGGGUUUUACUGUCUCCUUUUUCUAAUCAGCGAAACUAAUCUCCCCGUGAAGAAGCGGGGAUAUUUAUAUAAGACGAGAAGACCCCAUGGAGCUUCAAACCCAAUUACACCCCCCCCCCCAUAACCUCCUACCCCCCCCGGCCGGGUGUAAUUGGUUUU